rnacentral:rRNA from 1 species
UGGGGAAUAUUGGACAAUGGGGGCAACCCUGAUCCAGCAAUGCCGCGUGUGUGAAGAAGGUCUUCGGAUUGUAAAGCACUUUCGACGGGGACGAUGAUGACGGUACCCGUAGAAGAAGCCCCGGCUAACUUCGUGCCAGCAGCCGCGGUAAUACGAAGGGGGCUAGCGUUGCUCGGAAUGACUGGGCGUAAAGGGCGUGUAGGCGGUUUACACAGUCAGAUGUGAAAUCCCCGGGCUUAACCUGGGAGCUGCAUUUGAUACGUGUAGACUAGAGUGUGAGAGAGGGUUGUGGAAUUCCCAGUGUAGAGGUGAAAUUCGUAGAUAUUGGGAAGAACACCGGUGGCGAAGGCGGCAACCUGGCUCAUGACUGACGCUGAGGCGCGAAAGCGUGGGGAGCAAACAGGAUUAGAUACCCUGGUAGUCCACGCCUGU